rnacentral:rRNA from 1 species
GACGAACGCUGGCGGCGUGCUUAACACAUGCAAGUCGAACGGAAAGGCCCUGCUUUUGUGGGGUGCUCGAGUGGCGAACGGGUGAGUAACACGUGAGUAACCUGCCCUUGACUUUGGGAUAACUUCAGGAAACUGGGGCUAAUACCGGAUAGGAGCUCCUGCUGCAUGGUGGGGGUUGGAAAGUUUCGGCGGUUGGGGAUGGACUCGCGGCUUAUCAGCUUGUUGGUGGGGUAGUGGCUUACCAAGGCUUUGACGGGUAGCCGGCCUGAGAGGGUGACCGGCCACAUGGGGACGGAGAGAGGCCCCAGCCUCCGAGGGGGGGAAGAGGGGGGAAUUAUGCCAAAAGGGGCGGAGCCUGGAGGCAGCACCCCCGGGUGGGGGAGGGCGGCUUUGGGUUUGUAACCCGCUUCCGCUGGGGACGAAGGGUGAGGGAGGGUAAUGGGUAAAGAAGCCCCGGCAAACUACGGC